GUAGGAUUUAACCGAUUACUCUGUUUAUUCGUGACCACCGAUGUUUUAACAUUGGAAUGAAUUUUGACGAAACACUUAUGUGUCAAUGGUAGUCCUAAGUUUGUAAACAUUCGAGCCACUGAUGAUGACAUCAAAUUGAUGUCGAAAUUGAUUUGGCAUUAAAUGAAAUUGAAUUGAGCAACUCCGAG